rnacentral:rRNA from 1 species
ACUCCUACGGGAGGCAGCAGUGGGGAAUAUUGCACAAUGGGCGCAAGCCUGAUGCAGCCAUGCCGCGUGUAUGAAGAAGGCCUUCGGGUUGUAAAGUACUUUCAGCAGUGAGGAAGGUGGGUAUGUUAAUAGCAUACUCAUUUGACGUUAGCUGCAGAAGAAGCACCGGCUAACUCCGUGCCAGCAGCCGCGGUAAUACGGAGGGUGCGAGCGUUAAUCGGAAUUACUGGGCGUAAAGCGCAUGCAGGUGGUUUGUUAAGUCAGAUGUGAAAGCCCGGGGCUCAACCUCGGAAUUGCAUUUGAAACUGGCAAACUAGAGUACUGUAGAGGGGGGUAGAAUUUCAGGUGUAGCGGUGAAAUGCGUAGAGAUCUGAAGGAAUACCGGUGGCGAAGGCGGCCCCCUGGACAGAUACUGACACUCAGAUGCGAAAGCGUGGGGAGCAAACAGGAUUAGAUACCCUGGUAGGUCUGC